rnacentral:rRNA from 1 species
GUAGGUGGCAAGCGUUGUCCGGAAUUAUUGGGCGUAAAGCGCGCGCAGGCGGUUCUUUAAGUCUGAUGUGAAAGCCCACGGCUCAACCGUGGAGGGUCAUUGGAAACUGGAGAACUUGAGUACAGAAGAGGAAAGCGGAAUUCCACGUGUAGCGGUGAAAUGCGUAGAGAUGUGGAGGAACACCAGUGGCGAAGGCGGCUUUCUGGUCUGUAACUGACGCUGAGGCGCGAAAGCGUGGGGAGCAAACAGGAUUAGAUACCCUGGUAGUCCACGCCGUAAACGAUGAGUGCUAAGUGUUAGGGGGCUUCCGCCCCUUAGUGCUGCAGCUAACGCAUUAAGCACUCCGCCUGGGAGUACGGCCGCAAGGCUA